GUGUUUGUAGCUUAAAUUUGGAUAAAGCCCUAAACUACGAAUUUAGAGAGUGAAAGUUCGAGUCUUUCCAAACACA
rnacentral:tRNA from 1 species